CUACGGGAGGCAGCAGUGGGGAAUUUUCCGCAAUGGGUGAAAGCCUGACGGAGCAAUACAGCGUGAGGGAAGACUGCCUAUGGGUUGUAAACCUCUUUUUUCAGGGAGGAAUAAAUGACGUGUACCUGAAGAAUAAGCAUCGGCUAACUCCGUGCCAGCAGCCGCGGUAAGACGGAGGAUGCAAGUGUUAUCCGGAAUCACUGGGCGUAAAGCGUCUGUAGGUGGUUUAAUAAGUCAACUGUUAAAUCUUGAGGCUCAACUUCAAAAUCGCAGUCGAAACUAUUAGACUAGAGUAUAGUAGAGGUAAAGGGAAUUUCCAGUGGAGCGGUGAAAUGCGUAGAUAUUGGAAAGAACACCGAUGGCGAAAGCACUUUACUGGGCUAUUACUAACACUCAGAGACGAAAGCUAGGGUAGCAAAUGGGAUUAGAUACCCCAGUAGUCCUAGCCGUAAACUAUGGAUACUAGAUGUUGAACAGAUCGACCUGUGCAGUACCAAAGCUAACGCGUUAAGUAUCCCGCCUGGGAAGUAUGCUCGCAAGAGUGAAACUCAAAU
rnacentral:rRNA from 1 species